UACGAAGGGGGCUAGCGUUGUUCGGAAUCACUGGGCGUAAAGGGCGCGUAGGCGGCUUUAUAAGUCGGGGGUGAAAGCCUGUGGCUCAACCACAGAAUUGCCUUCGAUACUGUAUGGCUUGAGACCGGAAGAGGUAAGUGGAACUGCGAGUGUAGAGGUGAAAUUCGUAGAUAUUCGCAAGAACACCAGUGGCGAAGGCGGCUUACUGGUCCGGUUCUGACGCUGAGGCGCGAAAGCGUGGGGAGCAAACAGGAUUAGAAACCCCUGUAGUCC
rnacentral:rRNA from 1 species